rnacentral:lncRNA from 1 species
UACAAUGUCUGCGAUGGAAUAGGUGAGCUGGAAUAUUUGUGGAAUGCAUGGGUGGACUAAAGACCUAUCAUCUCACUCUAGAUUGCUGAGCAUGUUGGAGAAUCUGGGAAAGGCCUCAAAUGAACAUCAUGGGAAACUGAUUUUAAGAACGCACCUCUAGUUGUGCACGUUAAUGGCUAAACACGGCUGAAAGUCACUGGACACCUUUGCAGCUUUGUCAUCUGGUCCUUGUCAGAGCUGAGUUAGGAAAAACUAACCUCAGAGCUGCCUCUGCAGGAGUCGGGAGCUCUCCAUUCCCUACACGCCCUGGUCUCAACCCUGGCUUCAGCUUCAAUCCCAGAAAAGAGGAUCAAAACCACAGGUUCCAAGAGCAAACACUGCGCCAUCGCCUCUGUUUUGGAGAAAAGGAAAACGUGAGGUUUCGGUCAAUUUUGUCUGAGGAAAUCAGAUGAAAAAGGGUGAACAGAGGACCAGGUGUCUGAGCGCA